GUGAUCUGGAUCAGAAUAAACCAAUGUCUGAGGUGACGGGACACUCAGGAGAGUCUGUGGUUCUGCCCUGCUCAUGUACUGAACUACAGGAUAAACCUGAACAACUUACAUGGACAUUUACUCCACUAAACUUGGAAUAAACCCUGAAAAAAUUUACCCGCAUGAACAGAGCGAGAGACACACUGGUCGAGUCAAACUGUUGAUUGAAAUUUCUCCAGGAAAUCUCUCUCUACAGAUAUCAAACCUAAGCGAAGAGGACCAGGGAGAAUAUCACUGCUCUGUCUCAUCUCAACGACACGUCAGCAUCAGACUCAGUGUUCAAGAGGAAAAUUACUUUCAAUCAAUCUGUUUAUCAACCCAUAAACCUGCAAAACACGGAGAAGAACGUUCAACUACUCAACACUCAGGAGGGAUAUCGAGAAAACAACCACAAGUCUCACCUUAAUGAUGAGCUGACAUGUUCAAACAGCAGACACAACACAGCAUGUGGAGUCUACAAGAAACCAAAUAAAUUGAAACUUAAAAUUAUAACCUGCAUUUUAUUUGAAACUUUUAUUACUUUCUGUUGUGGAUAACCUGUUUUACACCCUCUGUUUUAACUCAACUUUUCUAGUCUAUACCUUCUUUAAUUAUAAUAUGUGUGUAUAUGUGUGUUUUUAGAUAACUUUCAAAAAGCCUUUUUGCUGCUUGAUUGGACUGCAAAUAUCACAUAAAGAAAAUGUAUCAAACCAGACCAAAAGAAGUGCUUAUGAGCAGAACAUCAGUAGCCCAUUCUGAUUAAUCUCAAUGACAGGUUUCCUGAAGGCACUGUUAACUUGUUAUCAUUGUUAUCUUUUAACAUUUUGAUGAUUUACCAAAUAAUGGUGUAUGUAUGUCUUUUUCCAGGAGUGUACUAUUUUAUUACAAUAAUAAUAUUGUCAAAAUGAUUGAGUACAUUAUGGUUAGAGAUCCUGACCUCUGACAUUACUUAAGAGAAUAAACAUUUG